GUCUAACAAAUUGUCUGCAGCCCCUAGACACAUAAAGAACAAUCUUUCCUUCAUCAGUCCACAAAAUGUUGCUCCAUUUCACUUUAGGCCAGUCAAUUUGUUCUUUGGCAAAUUGUAACCUCUUCAGCAUGUCGUUUUUUUCAAGAAUGGGAUCUUUCGUAGCUUUCAUGGCUUCUUGUCCAUAGCACAGAUAAUGAUUGAGACCAGGGAAUGAACUGUGAGUCACUGAAGCAAUAAAGAUCUCAAAGAAUUUUAAUUUUUUGCCUUUGAAGUCCCAUGAUGCUUCACUGUCACUGAAGGCCAGACUACAAGAAGAAUCGUAGUCACAUUUUUAAUACAACAUGCCCA